UAACCGGCGAACGGGUGCGUAACACGUGAGCAACCUGCCGAUCUGAGGGGGAUAGCCGGCCCAACGGCCGGGUAAUACCGCAUACGGUUUCUACGGGACAUCCUGUGGGAACGAAACCUCCGGGGCAGAUCGAGGGGCUCGCGGCCUAUCAGCUAGUUGGUGCGGGUAACGGCCCACCAAGGCGACGACGGGUAGCUGGUCUGAGAGGAUGGCCAGCCACAUUGGGACUGAGAGACGGCCCAG
rnacentral:rRNA from 1 species